rnacentral:lncRNA from 1 species
UCUUCUGUAGAGAGGCCAGGCCUAUAUAAUAACAAGAAAUUAUGGUGUAUAAUUGACCUAUUUGUAAAGAUCUUGUCAAGACGAGCAUUUUGAGCCCUUGUUUUUAAAAAUCCAAUGUACGGUUACAAAGUUAUGAUCGAUUCAAAGUUGGUUUUCAUCCCCCCUUUUUUCUCCAAGAUGGCCGCCAAUAAAAUCGAGUAGAUUUCAAUUUUAAUAGGUAUAUUUUGUGGCAAGUAGUUAGUUCUUUGCCUUUAUACACCAUUUUCUUUCAGAAUGCACUCCAAUCUUAACAGAAAUUCAUUUAUACUCAUUUACAUAUGUUUUUAGCAGAUAUUUUUCAGCAUCCAACAGCCUAGAUUCCUCCCUUCUGACAUUGCACAAAAUGCCCGAACAGCCAUGUUGAGACAUAUUUUUCUGUGAAAUUGCAAAUUAAUGUAUAGGUUUACACUAUACUAACUGUAAAACCUUGCCUGUUUUGUUGAAUUAUGAAAUCUUUGUAUAAUAAAAUGGAAAAAAACAAAGAGUUCAUGGUCUCUUAACA